rnacentral:rRNA from 1 species
CCUACGGGUGGCAGCAGUGGGGCAUAUUGCACAAUGGGGGAAACCCUGAUGCAGCGACGCCGCGUGAGUGAAGAAGUAUUUGGGUAUGUAAAGCUCUAUCAGCAGGGAAGAAAAUGACGGUACCUGACUAAGAAGCCCCGGCUAACUACGUGCCAGCAGCCGCGGUAAUACGUAGGGGGCAAGCGUUAUCCGGAUUUACUGGGGGUAAAGGGAGCGUAGACGGCCAGACAAGUCAGAAGUGAAAGCCCAGGGCUCAACCCUGGGACUGCUGUUGAAACCGCCGGGCUAGAGUGCAGGAGAGGUAAGCGGAAUGCCUAGUGUAGCGGUGAAAUGCGUAGAUAUUAGGAGGAACACCAGUGGCGAAGGCGGCAUACUGGACUGUAACUGACGUUGAGGCUCGAAAGCGUGGGGAGCAAACAGGAUUAGAUACCCGAGUAGUC